rnacentral:rRNA from 1 species
GACGAACGCUGGCGGCGUGCCUAAUACAUGCAAGUAGAACGCAGUUGCGAACGGGUGAGUAACGCGUAGGUAACUGCCUCAUAGCGGGGGAUAACUAUUGGAAACGAUAGCUAAUACCGCAUACUUUGAGAUGGACCUGCGUUGUAUUAGCUAGUUGGUUAGGUAAAGGGUCACCAAGGCGACGAUACAUAGCCGACCUGAGAGGGUGAUCGGGCAAACUGGGACUGAGACACGGCCCCGAAUCCGACGGGAGGCAGCAGUAGGGGAUCUUCGGCAAUGGACGGAAGUCUGACCGAGCAAAGCCGCGGGAGUGAAGAAGGUUUUCGGAUCGGAAAGCUUUGUUGUUAGAGAAGCGGUACCUAACCAGAAAGGGACGGCUAACUACGUGCCAGCAGCCGCGGUAAUUC